AGCAGACUUAUUUCCACAGUGCAACCCUACCAUCUUAUACCACAAAUUCCCAAAUCACCUCAGCAAAGCAGAUUUCAGACUGAAGACUGUCUAUGCUCAGCCAGUUUUAAAAUAAACUUCUGAUUACUAAAUUCUUCCCAGUUAUCAGCUUCCUGGAUGGCCUGGUUCCCUGACAUGUUUCUCUGGUUUUCUUUUUAGAUACCAAAAAAGCUCAUCUAAUCUACUCAAGUAUCACUGUGUACUCUGUUUCAAGAUGCAAAUGAAGUGGGGAUUUUCCUAUGCUGGACAGAGUGUACAGUUACCUGGCCAUGAGGUCUUGGGUCAUUGCUGAAGGGAGAUUCAUGAGGAUGCCAGAAUUAUUCUACUGAACAGACCAUGAGCUACUUGGAGACAGAAAUGGAGAAGAUACAGUCUCUGGUCUCAGUAUGGAUGUGUAAGCAGGUGAAAUACGUUAUGACAUUUCCCUGUCUAAUUCUUUGCUGGAGUUCACAAGAAUCUGCAUACUUUGGCCUGUGGCUCGGGACUUCAGAUCCAUGUCUAUAAGACCUGGUGAGCCAGCCAGAAGAAAGAGGUAAACACAGAAUGCUUCUCAAGAUUCCUGUCUCUCUUGUCAAAAGUGGCCAAGUGUUCUUACCUAGAACAACUGAAAAUGAUGGGCAGAUUUCCAUGGGAGACUGAGGCCGGCCUUGA